GUCAACGCAGGUACACUGGCUAGAAGUCCGCCGCGCGCCUUGGAAUUCGGCGACUUCGAUUCGGUCAGAAUUGGUCCUACGGCUCAAGUCACGGAGAACCAUCCACGUAGGACGACAGAGAGAAUGAAGGAGAACCUUCCACUACUAGUACUAGAGCCCACGCAUGCCGGGGCUCAGGAGACACCGCGGCUCCGAUGCGCUCAUCUUUGCCUGCUUGCGAGCGCUUGGCUCAAGCCAGUAUGGACCAGCAGAGAACCUCGCUCUUCCUCGUCUCCGAUAUGCAGGCUGGAAGGGAGAAAAUGGACUGGGUUGCACGCAUGCAGGCGGGCUCGUUUCCUCGUGUCCAGUCAACGUAUCUGGUGGGCCUGGACGUCGGUGGCGCAGCAACCCAUCACAAGUUAUAGGUCCAUGUUGUUUGACCUAUUUUACUUUUAUAUGAGAAAACUGUGGGCAUAUCACUUUUCUUGGCCACUCAAGACGAAACUCGCUGAUGCACGUAGCACUUUGAUACAAAUGGUGCAUAUAUUAUACUCCCUCCGUAGUCGUUUUAAGUCUUAGUUUUAUGUCUAUAUUUAAAUAGUUAAAGAUGAAGCUAGACACAUACAAAAUACAUGCAUCAAAAAUUGUAUGAACCCACUAA